GGCGACAAAAGCUGUAUUUUUCCAAUAUCCACGAGCGCCCCUUUAAUAACCCCCCCCCUCUCCGCGCGGCCGGCUCCCCGAUGGUCCCCAUGGCAACGCAGAUAACGAAGCAGCCAUUUUCCAUAUCUCUAUGAAAGUCUAUUAUAUUGCGGGAUUAGCUCAUCUCCUCGAGACCUCAAUUUCUGCUUUCUAUCCUUCUGAAGAUAUGUGACUAGAGCACAUCUACAGUCUUGUCCCUGAGGCUCCUUCUCUCCAUUGAUUUGAGUACCAAGGUCCAUCACUUUCUGGAGGGAAAUGCCAUCACCACCUUCUCCUCUGCUUUGGCUUGUCCAGCUAUCAUCUCAUUUCUGAGUCAUCUCCAGAACAUGCCACCCAAGUGUCUAUUCCCUUCCUCGGCCCUAGAUCCAAACCUACUUUCCAGAACCCCUUUAUAUGUUGUCUUCACCCAUUGGAAUGUAAGUGCCUUGAAGGCAGAGACUGUUUUGCCUUUUCAUUCCAUUCCAAGCAAUUAACCUAAAAUAAAUUAAUGUAAAAAAAAAAACA
rnacentral:lncRNA from 1 species